GAUACGAUGGACUACCUUAAGCUAAGUUAAGUGUAUGGAACCACCAGACAGGACCAGAAUGUGAAAACUAAAAUGUUUAUUGAGCAGAAACAUGCUUUAAUCAAAAAUAUCUCUGGAACAGUAGCAAGGUCAAUGGGUCAAAGGUCAGAAUAUCUCUGGAACAGUAGCAAGGUCAAUGGGUCAGAGGUCAGCACCCCCCGAAA